rnacentral:rRNA from 1 species
AUUGAACGCUGGCGGCACGCCUAACACAUGCAAGUCGAGCGGCAGCAUGCUUAGUAGCAAUACUAAGUGAUGGCGAGCGGCGGACGGGUGAGGAACACGUAGGAACCUGCCCAAGAGAGGGGGACAACCAAUGGAAACGUUGGCCAAUACCGCAUAAUCUCUUAGGAGAAAAGUUGCCCGUAAGGGUAGCGCUUUUGGAGGGGCCUGCGUCCGAUUAGCUAGUUGGUGAGGUAAUGGCUCACCAAGGCUGUGAUCGGUAACUGGUCUGAGCGGACGACCAGUCACACUGGGACUGAGACACGGCCCAGACUCCUACGGGAGGCAGCAGUGGGGAAUCUUGGACAAUGGGGGCAACCCUGAUCCAGCGAUGCCGCGUGGGUGAAGAAGGCCUUCGGGUUGUAAAGCCCUUUAGGCUGGGACGAAGGGUAUGGGACGAAUAAUCCUGUACUUUGACGGUACCAGCAGAAUAAGCACCGGCAAACUCUGUGCCAGCCGCCGCCGUAA